rnacentral:lncRNA from 1 species
GGCUUAAUACUCACGCCCAGCUGCCUGAAAUCCAGAAUUUCAUUCUCUAUAAGGGAACGGAAACUGGUCAUGUUGGAGUGCCUGGCCCAGUUCAUUUUAGUCAGCUAAAACAGUUUAAAAAUUUUAAGAAAACAGAAUGUCUAGCAAACUCACAUCAUUAUCAAAUUAAAACAGCCUUAUACUAAAUAAAACUAAUCAGAACAUUAAAAAUUCCAGUUUUUUGGGAAAAUUUGAAAUACGUUAAUAAGCUAUUCUAUCAAUUAAAACUAUCAUUUACAAACUUGAAUCAAAAUAAGAUUCCAAAGUAACUCUUAUACUUUUUUCUUUCAGCACUGGCAAUGAACAACAAUAGAACUACACAUUCAAGCUCUUCCAUUCAUGCGUUUGUGAAUGAGACACUUCACAGAGAUGGAUCUGACUAACUGGUGGUCAGAUUCAUCCCUUAGCCAUUCUUUAACCUUCCUUCAAGUGUGAAUCAACAUUGAUACCAAAAAAAAAAGGAAAACACAGUAAGAAUUCAGUCCACUUAAGCUGAACCAGGACAUAUGUGUUUUUUGUCACAACAAAUAAGAUAAAAGCUUGAAGUUCAUAAAGAAAAAUGAAAGCAUCACAGAUACUCUUAGAACUACUUCAGAAAUUUGCAAAGAAUAAGCAGGAAUUCAAAUGCUUAACCACAUUUACAAGCAUAAACCAAUCAAAUGUUAAUAAUGGAAAUCUACUAACGAAUGAACUGAUUCUUCAACAUAAUAACUGUUAUUUUCUCAUAAAGUUGUCAUACACCUAAAAACUAUCAGAGAGCUGAUAGUAGAUUACCUCAAGAUAGCUUAACGAGAAGGAUUUAUGAUCAAAUAAAAGCCAGCAACACUCAAAAUAGCAGCAGCAAAUAGAACAGCAACAAAAAUCCCAGAAUAUUUGACUAAAACCAACUUUAAAUAGCAGGGAUUAUGAACUAGGGAAACAAGGAGCUAUUUCUAUUUUCAAAUCCACUUGGAAACCCAGAAAAAGGAAGAAAAACCAGUGUGAAAAUCAAUUUCCAGAAUUCCUUGUGUAUCAAAGUUGCCUUUUAGAUUGCCUAAUGCUGAUGAUAGUCUGUGUGUGAACGAGUGAG